UGCAAGUCGUACGAACUCUGCGUAUUGAUUGGUGCUUGCAUCAUGAUUUACAUUUGAGUGAGUGGCGAACUGGUGAGUAACACGUGGGAAACCUGCCCAGAAGCGGGGGAUAACACCUGGAAACAGAUGCUAAUACCGCAUAACAACUUGGACCGCAUGGUCCGAGUUUGAAAGAUGGCUUCGGCUAUCACUUUUGGAUGGUCCCGCGGCGUAUUAGCUAGAUGGUGGGGUAACGGCUCACCAUGGCAAUGAUACGUAGCCGACCUGAGAGGGUAAUCGGCCACAUUGGGACUGAGACACGGCCCAAACUCCUACGGGAGGCAGCAGUAGGGAAUCUUCCACAAUGGACGAAAGUCUGAUGGAGCAACGCCGCGUGAGUGAAGAAGGGUUUCGGCUCGUAAAACUCUGUUGUUAAAGAAGAACAUAUCUGAGAGUAACUGUUCAGGUAUUGACGGUAUUUAACCAGAAAGCCACGGCUAACUACGUGCCAGCAGCCGCGGUAAUACGUAGGUGGCAAGCGUUGUCCGGAUUUAUUGGGCGUAAAGCGAGCGCAGGCGGUUUUUUAAGUCUGAUGUGAAAGCCUUCGGCUCAACCGAAGAAGUGCAUCGGAAACUGGGAAACUUGAGUGCAGAAGAGGACAGUGGAACUCCAUGUGUAGCGGUGAAAUGCGUAGAUAUAUGGAAGAACACCAGUGGCGAAGGCGGCUGUCUGGUCUGUAACUGACGCUGAGGCUCGAAAGUAUGGGUAGCAAACAGGAUUAGAUACCCUGGUAGUCCAUACCGUAAACGAUGAAUGCUAAGUGUUGGAGGGUUUCCGCCCUUCAGUGCUGCAGCUAACGCAUUAAGCAUUCCGCCUGGGGAGUACGGCCGCAAGGCUGAAACUCAAAGGAAUUGACGGGGGCCCGCACAAGCGGUGGAGCAUGUGGUUUAAUUCGAAGCUACGCGAAGAACCUUACCAGGUCUUGACAUACUAUGCAAAUCUAAGAGAUUAGACGUUCCCUUCGGGGACAUGGAUACAGGUGGUGCAUGGUUGUCGUCAGCUCGUGUCGUGAGAUGUUGGGGGUUAAG
rnacentral:rRNA from 1 species